rnacentral:lncRNA from 1 species
UGACCAAAGGACAAUGCUCGCUUGCCUUAAGCAGAAACGCGGAUCUACUGCUUCAACUGAACCCUAGCCUACACAUGUUUGGCUUUGGUAGCCAUGUAAUUUUUUCCUGCAUACUCAAAAAUGGCCAGGCACGAACAUGCACGUCAGGUCCGAAGAACGCUAAAUACACUCGGAACAAUAAACGUGCCUGGAUAAAAACAGCCAUAAUUCAGACCCUGCUGAUAUUGCUAGCCGGCGAUAUUCAACUGAAUCCAGGCCCCAGCGAAACCCUACAGGGAACGCCGAGUCUCAGCUGCAGGCACACAUCCCCGGAGGGGCACUCCGCGGAGACGCACUCUGCAAGUGAGAACCAGACCGCGGGGAGAGUUACCAACUGCUCCAUUGUGGCACCCGACCUCGCGCCGGGGACCCUGACUUUCCAGCCAGUGUCGGACUGUCUCGCAUUGGGGGGUGUGAGUUCGGGAGCCGGAGUCGGCGUGCAACCGGGGGACACCAACUGGUCGCUACUGGGGGAGCAGUGCGGAGGCAACCGUAUACACACGAUUCACAGCUCCAGGCAGACCGGACCCGUCUGGAGGACGCAUCAAAACUGCACCAAGUAUAAUAAAUCGACUCUCAAACAGAUCAAUAUUUUUCAAACAGUUUAUCAUGCUAAAGUUAUAUGGGACCCUGCUGUUAAACCUAAGGGUAUAUUUGGGGGGCACCUAAAUAUUAGAAGCCUUCUCCCUAAAUGUGAUGAAAUUAAAUCAUUAUUACUGGACUCAAACCUGGAUUUCUUGUGCCUUAGCGAAAGCUGGCUUCAUGGCAAGGUGCAAACCUCAAUUGUUGACGUGCCUGGGUACAACUGUUUUAGAAAAGAUAGGAAAAUUGGUAGAGGGGGUGGAGUGGUUGUAUAUAUUAGGGACUCUUUCAGAUGCACUGAAAUUGAGUUUGACUGUGAUGUUUCUAUUGAGUGCCUUGGAUUAAAUGUUUAUCUAUCCCCGGCCGGAGAUGCACUUCCGCAUUCUAGUCCUAUAUAACCCGCCUACAUUUGAUAGUGAAUUCUACGAAAAGUUAGAGAAACUGCUUAAAGCGAUCUCUCACAAAGCAGAGGUGAUGAUAUUCGGUGAUUUCAAUAUUAACUGGGCAGAUAAAAAAGCCAGAAGUAAACUGAAAAG